GCACUUCUGCAAACCCUGUCCUUCUGUGUCAGUGCUGGGCACGGGUUUAAAAGUGCUAAAGUACCUCAGAGUGCAUCCAGACAAGUCUCCUCUUCUAUUGGCGCUUGUCUCUACAAACUUUGAAACAAGC
ensembl:snoRNA